rnacentral:lncRNA from 1 species
CAAGCUCUUCUUCUCGUCGAAGAAGUCGUCAUCGGACGCAUCAAGUCCGACCGAUGGUGGUGGAUCUUCCAACAGUCCUCGAUCCAUCGGGUCCAACUCCCCGAUCCGGAGCAGCGACAAGAAGAAGUCCAAGUCGUCUUCGUCUUUCUCGUCCUCGUCGAAGGACAACAGCCCCAGCUUCUCCUCCGGUGGCGCCGUGGCGGCGGCGGCGGCCGGGGG